rnacentral:rRNA from 1 species
GUUUGAUCCUGGCUCAGAUUGAACGCUGGCGGGAUGCUUUACACAUGCAAGUCGAACGGCAGCACGGACUUCGGUCUGGUGGCGAGUGGCGAACGGGUGAGUAAUGUAUCGGAACGUGCCUAGUAGCGGGGGAUAACUACGCGAAAGCGUAGCUAAUGCCACGCCACGCCGCUAAGGGGAAAGCGGGGGACCUUCGGGCCUCGCACUGUCUGACCGGCCGAUAUCGGAUUAGCUAGUUGGUGGGGUAACGGCUCACCAAGGCGACGAUCCGUAGCUGGUUUGAGGACGACCAGCCACACUGGGACUGAGACACGGCCCAGACUCCUACGGGGAGGCAGCGGUGGGGGAAUUUUGGACAAUGGGGAAACCCUGAUCCAGCCAUCCCGCGUGUGCGAUGAAGGCCUUCGGGUUGUAAAGCACUUUUGGCAGGAAAGAAGCGGCACGGGAUAAUACCCCGUGCAACUGACUGACACCUGCAGAAUAAACACUUGCUGUACCUGUGCACACCGGCCCCAACUACGUGCCAGCAGCGCGUGUACGUAGGGUGCAAGCGUUAAUCAGGUUACUGGGCGUAAAGCGUGCGAGCGGUUCGGAAAGAAGAUGUGAAAUCCCAGAGCUUAACUUUGGAACUGCAUUUUUAACUACGACUAGAGUGUGUCAGAGGGAGGUGGAAUUCCAUAAUAACAGUGAUGCGUAGAUAUGCGGAGGAACACCGAUGGCGAAGGCAGCCUCUCGUGAAUGCUACUGACGCUCAUGCACAAAGCUGAUGAGGCAAACAGGGAUUAGAUACCCUGGUAGUCCACGCCUAAAUUAUCGCUAGCUGGUAUUUGGGGCCUUCGGGCCUUGGUAGCGCAGCUAACAUACGUGAAGUUGACCGCCUGGGAGAGUACGGUCGCAAGAUUAAAACUCAAGGAAUUGACGGGGACCGCACAAGCAUUGGAUGAUGUGGAUUAAUUCGAUGCAACGCGAAAACCUUACCUACCCUUGACAUGUCUGGAAUCCCCGAAGAGAUUUGGGUGCUCCAUAGAGAACCGGAACACAGGUGCUGCAUGAAGCAUCGUCAGCUCGUGUCGUGAGAUGUUGGGUUAAGUCCCGCAACGAGCGCAACCCUUGUCAUUAGUUGCUACGAAGAGGGCACUCUAAUGCGGAACUGCCGGUGACAAACCGGAGGAAGAAGGUGGGGAUGACGUCAAGUCCUCAUGGCCUUAUAGGCCAGGGCUUCACACGUCAUACAAUGGUCAGGACCGGUCGUAACCCGCGAGGGAGCCAAUCAGAAACUGAUCGUAGUCCGGAUCGCAGUCUGCAACUCGACUGCGUGAAGUCGGAAUCGCUAGUAAUCGCGGAUCAGCAUGUCGCGGUGAAUACGUUCCCGGGUCUUGUCCCACACCGCCCGUCACACCAGCGGGAAUUGGGUUUUACCAGUAGUUAGCCUAACCGUAAGGAGGCGAUUACCACGGUAGGAUUCAUGACUGGGGGUGAAGUCGUAACAAGGUAG